UACGUAGGGUGCAAGUGUUAAUCGGAAUGACUGGGCGUAAAGGGUGCGCAGGCGGUUGGCUAAGACAGAUGUGAAAGCCCUGGGCUUAACCUAGGAACGGCAUUUGUGACUGGUCGACUGGAAUAUGGCAGAGGGAGGUAGAAUUCCGCAUGUAGCAGUGAAAUGCGUAGAGAUGUGGAGGAAUACCGAUGGCGAAGGCAGCCUUCUGGGCCAAUAUUGACGCUGAGGCACGAAAGCGUGGGGAGCAAACAGG
rnacentral:rRNA from 1 species